GAUGAACGCUGGCGGCGUGCCUAAUACGUGCAAGUCGAGCGAACAGACGAGGAGCUUGCUCCUCUGACGUUAGCGGCGGACAGGUGAGUAACACGUGGAUAACCUACCUAUAAGACUGGGAUAACUUCGGGAAACCGGAGCUAAUACCGGAUAAUAUAUUGAACCGCAUGGUUCAAUAGUGAAAGACGGUUUUGCUGUCACUUAUAGAUGGAUCCGCGCCGCAUUAGCUAGUUGGUAAGGUAACGGCUUACCAAGGCGACGAUGCGUAGCCGACCUGAGAGGGUGAUCGGCCACACUGGAACUGAGACACGGUCCAGACUCCUACGGGAGGCAGCAGUAGGGAAUCUUCCGCAAUGGGCGAAAGCCUGACGGAGCAACGCCGCGUGAGUGAUGAAGGUCUUCGGAUCGUAAAACUCUGUUAUUAGGGAAGAACAAAUGUGUAAGUAACUAUGCACGUCUUGACGGUACCUAAUCAGAAAGCCACGGCUAACUACGUG
rnacentral:rRNA from 1 species